GACAUAAAAGUUCUCCAAGUCCCCACUCCACUCAGGAGCCCAGCUGGCUUCACCUAGUGGAUCCGGUACCCUGGCCACAGGUGGAGCUGCCCGCCAGUCCCGCGCCCUGCGACCGCACUCCUCAGCCCUUGGACGAUUGAUGCUACAGGGCGCCAUGGAGCCAGGGGCGGCGCCCGUCGGAGAGGCUCGGGAGGCGCAGGAGCCCACAGUGCCGGGGAGGCUCAGGCAUGGCGGGCUGCAGCUCCCGAGCCCUGCCCCGCGGGGAGGCAGCUGAAGCCUGGCGAGAAUUCCACUGCAGCGCUGGCGGGCCGGCACUGCUGGCGGACCUGGCGCAUCCUCCGCAGCUGCUGGCCCGGGUGCUAAGCCGCUCACUUCCUGGGGCCCGCGGCUCCGGCCAGCCGCUCUGAGUGCUGGGCCCGCCGAGCCCACGCCCACCCGGAACUCGCGAUGGCCCGCAAGCGCCGCGCGCAGCUCCGGUUCCCACCCGCGCCUCUCCCUCCACACGUCUCUGCAAGCUCAGGGAGCCGGCUCCAGCCUCAGCCAGCCCAGAAAGUGGCUCCCACAGUGCAGCGGCGGGCCGAAGGGCUGCUCAAGCGCGGCCAGAGUGGGCGCCGAGGUCAAGGAGGCGCGGAGAGCCAGCGAGGACUGUGAGUGCUGCCAGCGUUGUCGCCUCUCAAUAUGACUUAGCCGCCAUGUGAAGAAGGACGCGUUUGCUUCCUCUUUUGCCACAAUUGUAAGUUUCCUGAGUCCUCACCAGCCCUGUGAAACCGUGAGUCAGUUAAACUUCUUUUCUUUAUCAAUUACUCAGUCUCAGGCAGCUCCUUUUUAAUUCCAAUAAUCACUUUAUUUUUUUAAUUUCAUCUUUUAAUCCUCAAAACACUUUUACGUAUUAGAGUCAACCUCUUAAGUAGCAUUUCUUAAGUUACUCUGGUACAGGUGGUAUUUGUUUACAUGAGUAAGUUCUUUAGUGGUGAUUUGUUAGAUUUUUGGUGUACCCAUCAUAAAAAGGAGCCCACAUAGCCAAAGCAAGACUAAGCAAAAAAACAAAUUUGAAGGCAUCACACUACUUGAUUUCAAACUCUAUUAUAAGGUCAUAGUGUCACCAAAACAGCAUGGUACUGGUCUAAAAAUGGCACAUAGACCAAUGGAACACUAUAGGGAACACAGAUGUAAACCCAAAUACUUACAGCCAACUGAUCUGUGACAAAGCAAGGAAAAACAUAAAGUCGGGGGAGGACCCCCUUUUCAAUAACUGGUGCUGGGAUAAUUGGCAAGCCACAUGUAGGAGAACAAAACUGGAUCCUCAUCUCUCACCUUACACAAAAAUCAACUCAAGAUGGAUUAAAGACUUAAACUAAGAACUGAAACUAUAAAAAUUCUAGAAGAUAACAUUGGAAAAACCCUUCUAGACAUUGGUUUAGGCAAGGAUUUCAUGACAAGAACCCAAAAGCAAAUGCAAUAAAAUCAAAGAUAAAUGACUGCGACCUAAUUAAACUAAAGAGCUUUUGCAUGGCAAAAGGAACAGUCAACAGGGUAAACAGACAACCCACAGAGUGGGAGAAAAUCUUCAUAAUCUAUACAUCUGACAAAGGACAAAUAACCAGAAUCUACAAUGAACUCAAAUCAGUAAGAAAAAUACAAACAAUCCCAUCAAAAAGUGGACUAAGGACAUGGAUAGACAAUUCUGAAAAGAAGAUACACAAAUGGCCAACAAACAUAUAAAACAAUGUUCAACAUUGGGCAGUUCUUUAUAGCAGCAUGAGAAUGGACUAAUACAACGACUAUUCCAUAAAAUGCUUGGCCGUUUCCUAUAAAGUUGAACAUACAGUUGAACAUAUAAAAAAAGUAAAUAAAUGAAUAAAUAAAUAAAACCCUUCCCUACCCUUUGACCUAGCAAUUAUAUUCCUCAGGAUUUAUCCAAGAAAUAUUAAAAUAUGUCUACAAAAGGCCGGGCUCAGUGGCUAACACCUGUAAUCCCAGCUCUUUGGGAGGCUGAGGCGGGUGGACCACGAGGUCAGGAGUUUGAGACCAGCCUGGCCGAUAUGGUGAAAUUCCAUCUUUACUAAAAAUACAAAAA